rnacentral:rRNA from 1 species
UGGGGAAUAUUGGACAAUGGGCGCAAGCCUGAUCCAGCCAUGCCGCGUGAGUGAUGAAGGCCCUAGGGUUGUAAAGCUCUUUCACCGGUGAAGAUAAUGACGGUAACCGGAGAAGAAGCCCCGGCUAACUUCGUGCCAGCAGCCGCGGUAAUACGAAGGGGGCUAGCGUUGUUCGGAUUUACUGGGCGUAAAGCGCACGUAGGCGGACUUUUAAGUCAGGGGUGAAAUCCCGGGGCUCAACCCCGGAACUGCCUUUGAUACUGGAAGUCUUGAGUAUGGUAGAGGUGAGUGGAAUUCCGAGUGUAGAGGUGAAAUUCGUAGAUAUUCGGAGGAACACCAGUGGCGAAGGCGGCUCACCGGACCAUUACUGACGCUGAGGUGCGAAAGCGUGGGGAGCAAACAGG